CAGAUUGUCAUCACAGGCAGAUCUACCUAUCAGGGACCGGGGACCCUGAACCCCCAUCUUUCCACCCAGAGAUCAGCAUCUGGAACAGACAGAUGCCCCAUUCCUAUUGUGGCCCUGCCAUGGGUCCCGGGCUCCUCCACUGCGUGGCCUUCUGUCUCCUCGGAGCAGGUCACAUGGGUGCCAUGGUCAUCCAGAGCCCAAGAUACCAGGUUACUAAGGUGGGAAAACCAGUGACUCUGAACUGUUCUCAGAAUCUGAAUCAUGAUGCCAUGUACUGGUACCAACAGAAGCUGAGACAAGCACCAAAGCUGCUGCUCUACUACUAUGAUACAGAACUUACCAAAGAAACAGACACCUCCGAUAACUUCCAACCCAGCCGGCUCAGCAAUUCUCUCUGUUCUCUUAGCAUCCGCUCACCAGGCUUGGGGGACUCAGCAGUGUACCUCUGUGCCAGCAGUAAAGACACAGAGCUACAGUGUUAUGUCUCCCCUGUGCAUAAACUUCUGCAUUUCCCAGAUCCAAGAUCCUUCUCUAGACCAUCCCCCAGCUCUGAUGUUACAACAGUAGUAGAAACCCAACAAUAG